rnacentral:sRNA from 1 species
CAGCGCCUCCGCACCUAGUAGGUGCUCAGUAAACGUGGGAGAAAUGAAGGGUGAAGGUGCCACACAUCUUGGAUCCUCUCCAGGACAUGGUGGGCGGGUGCUAUGAGUUUUCCUGUUCUGCAGAUGAAGAGGCUGCGGCUCAGGAAUAUGAACAACCCGGCCAAAGCCACAAAGCAAGGAAGCACCGGCAGGGCUGGGGUUCGGGUCUGGGUUUGUCUGACUCCAGAGCCCAGUGCCUUGUUCUCCAUGGCUGCUGUGUGCUACCUCUUUGAUGAACAUCUAGAUUUGUGUCCUUCUCUGAGGGGUCCCCAGAUUUCAGCAGUUCGAGGCCAGCUCAGCUUUUCCUUUCACCAAUGGCCUAGAAGAGGCCAACAAGGUAGCUUUGAGGCUGCCCCAAAGUGGAGAGUGGCAGUGAAACAUUGGACGCCAGAGUGAGGGCCACAGAACAGUGGUCUGUAUUGGUUUAGAGCAUGAGGCCUCCACGUGGACUUAAAUGCAGACCCCAGGCCUGCCCAUGUUGACCUUGGGCAAGUGACUUAACCUCUCUGAGCCUCCAUUGCCUGUAAAAUGAGGGGUUUAUAGUACCUACUUCAUAAGGUUGCUAUGGAGAUGACAUGAGAAACCAUAGGACCCCGGUGCCAUUUGGAGGAUCCCUCGUGGGGGGCACUUUUCCCAGGCUAGGCACCUCCUUCAUCCCGGAGCCCCUCAGUGGCUUGGAACUCCUCCGUCUCAGACCCAGCUUCAACAGAGUGGCCCAGGGCUGGGUCCGUAACCUCCCAGAGUCCGAGGAGCUGUAGUCCUAGCCUGAAUCUUCAGUUCCCCAGUCUUGGGGGCCUGGUAACAUCUGGAGCCAAGACUUGUAGACAGCGCUUCACAGUUUAAGAAGGGCCUUCACACACAAAACCUGAUUGCAGAUGGCUUCAGAGGUCACAAAGUUCAGUAGUCCCAAAACAUGGGUGUGCUUCAAAAUUACCUGGGGAUGUUGUUCCGAAUACAGAUGACUGGACUGUCCCAGACUUGCAGCAUCAGAGUCUCCUGAGUCGAGGAAUCUGUAUUAUUAGCAACCAGGGCCGGGUGUAGUGGCUCACACCUGUAAUCCCAGCACUUUGGGAGGCCGAGGCAGGAGGAUCACCUGAGGUCAGGAGUUUGAGACCAGCCUGGCCAAAAUAGUGGAACCCUGUCUCUACUAAAAAUACAAAAAUUAGUCGGACAUGGUGGUGCAUGCCUGUAAUCCCAGCUACUUGGGAGGCUGAGACAGGAAAAUCACUUGAACUAGGAGGCAGAGGUUGCAGUGAGCCGAGAUUGCGCCACUGCACUCCAGCCUGGACAACAGAGUGAGACUCCUUCUCAAAAAUAAAUAAAUAAAUAGCAACCAGUACUCCAGGUGAUUCCAGCAUAACUUAUCCAUGGUUCGUGUCAUUAGGAGUCCACAUCCACACCUCUGCUCUUUCCUGUUCUCGCAGUGUACACUCACCUGGUUUCAGGGUGCUCACUGGCACCCCAUCUUCCUGUGAAUAACUCAAAUAAUUAGAAAAUGUUCCUUUUACUGAGAUGCAGUUGGUCUUCAUCUAUUUAUGCUCUAAACACUUCCUAAGCACUGACUACGCGCUAGACACUGCCAGGCCCGGGCCUCAAGGAGGAAGAGACAGUAGGGAAGACGGAUUUAUAGAGCACGAAAUCACCGUAAUUUUCCCUAAAGCAUGCUUAUUGACAAUUGAGGAACAAAGUGUUGUGGAGCAGAGGAAGGAGUCCCUCACCCUAGGUGUGAGAUGGGAUUCCGGAAGCUUCCUGGAGGAUUUGAGUGGGACCUUGGGGGAGGCGUGAGAGUCCAUGAAGAGAAGGGGGUGUGAGGGGAGGGUAUUCCUGGAAAGUGGACCAGCAUGUGCAAAAAUAUGGAACUGAGCACGGGUGCAGGGUGUUCUGCAGAAGGGAGAAGGCUGUGCUAGAGGAGCUGGUGAGGACCAGCAUGGGGUGGGCUUCACUAAGGAAAUGGGGAAGGUUUUAGUGAUGGGUCUUGCUGGGUGCUGUGUGGGACGCAUAUUGGAGAAGGGUGAUGCCAGAAGCCAGGAAGCCUGCAAGGGAUGAGGCCAUGGGAAUGGAAAGAAAGGGCCACCCGCUGGGCACCUAACAGGACAGGUGCAAAGUGGGGUGCUUAUUAAGAUUCCUUCUUUCCACUGUCCAUUUUGAGCAGGCUGCUUAAAGUGGUGGUGAUGAUGAUGAUGAUGGCAGCUUUAGAUUGAGUGCCUCGGUGCUUGGGCUGGUAGUAGGUUCUCUACAUAUCUUAUUUCUAAUUCUCAGAACAACCCUGAGAGAAAGAUAUUGUUGUCCCCACUUUACAGAUGUGGAUAUUUAGGCUCAAAAGGAGGAAGUGACUUGUCCAGGGGCAGAGACCAAAUGGGAAUCUGAUUUCAGUGGAUGUCUCUUUUCACUGCACUGGGUGGUCAAUGGCCACUCGCUCUGAAAUCAUCUGAUUGUGGUGCCCUGCCUUGGAGUUUAGAAGUUGAGUGCAGGCUUGGGAGUCAGACUGGAUGGGGUAGGUUCUAACUCUGCCACUGCUAGCCGGGUGAACUUGAGCAAGUCAUUUCACAUCUCCGAGCCUCUAUUUCUCCAAGUGUAAGAUGAGGACAAAUAUAAAAGCUCCCUUAUGAGUUGGUUGUGAACACAGUGCAGGGCACAUUUAUAAUAAGAGCUCAGUCAAUGGUAGGUUUCAUGUAACUUCUGCUCUAGGCUGGAAAAGUUGUUCUUGCACUGGAUGCAGCAUGAGAAGCUGGCUGCUAAGAUGUCAUUGGGGGUCAGUAAAGCUGAAGCCUGAAGGAAAGCCUCUCAUUGCUGUAGAGCUCUGCCUGCCUCUCUCUCUGGGGGCAAUGGGGAAGGUCAGGAGUCCAGCCCAUUCCCAGGGUGCGUGGGAUAGUGAUUGCAUUUUCCUUUUGCUCUGGAGUUUCACUCCCCUUCUGGGUCCCAAGGGCCCAAUGGCCUGACUUUUAGAAUUGCUUGCAGUUGGUGUUUUCUCUUGAAUUUGGGGGCUGCCAUUUAAAGCCAGGUUUCCAUGAGCUGAAGACCAGCCAUUCAAGAGUCUGAAAAGUAGACAAGAGGACUCCGAUUGCCUUGGGUUGGUUCUGCUGUGCUCUGGAAGGUAACUGCAGCCACCGGGUAUGAAAAGGAGCCUGGUGGGGAGACCACUGCACCCAAAACAAAUCCUUUCUUCUUCUGAGAAUGUGACUUUUUCUGGUGUUGUAAAAAAGAAAAAAAAAAAAAGAAUGCUCAUUGUAAAAAUAAAAAAAUAAUAAGC